rnacentral:rRNA from 1 species
CGGGGUGGAGUAAUGUCUGGGAAACUGCCUGAUGAGGGGGAUAACUACUGGAAACGGUAGCUAAUACCGCAUAACGUCUUCGGACCAAAGUGGGGGACCUUCGGGCCUCACGCCAUCGGAUGUGCCCAGAUGGGAUUAGCUAGUAGGUGGGGUAAUGGCUCACCUAGGCGACGAUCCCUAGCUGGUCUGAGAGGAUGACCAGCCACACUGGAACUGAGACACGGUCCAG